UUCCAGACUCCUACGGGAGGCAGCAGUGAGGAAUAUUGGUCAAUGGGCGCGAGCCUGAACCAGCCAAGUCGCGUGAGGGAUGACGGUCCUACGGAUUGUAAACCUCUUUUGCCGGGGAGCAAGCGUGCGUUCGUGAACGCACGUCGAGAGUACCCGGAGAAAAAGCAUCGGCUAACUCCGUGCCAGCAGCCGCGGUAAUACGGAGGAUGCGAGCGUUAUCCGGAUUUAUUGGGUUUAAAGGGUGCGUAGGCGGUUUGAUAAGUUAGAGGUGAAAUGUCGGGGCUCAACCCCGAAACUGCCUCUAAUACUGUUGGACUAGAGAAUAGUUGCGGUAGGCGGAAUGUAUGGUGUAGCGGUGAAAUGCUUAGAGAUCAUACAGAACACCGAUUGCGAAGGCAGCUUACCAAACUAUAUCUGACGUUGAGGCACGAAAGCGUGGGUAGCAAACAGGAUUAGAUACCCCGGUA
rnacentral:rRNA from 1 species